rnacentral:rRNA from 1 species
UACGUAGGGUGCGAGCGUUAAUCGGAAUUACUGGGCGUAAAGCGUGCGCAGGCGGUUCGUUAAGUUCGUUGUGAAAGCCCCGGGCUCAACCUGGGAACUGCAAUGGAAACUGGCGGGCUUGAGUGUGGCAGAGGGGGGUGGAAUUCCGCGUGUAGCAGUGAAAUGCGUAGAGAUGCGGAGGGACACCGAUGGCGAAGGCAGCCCCCUGGGCCAACACUGACGCUCAGGCACGAAAGCGUGGGGAGCAAACAGG